ensembl:lncRNA
AGGAGAUCCUGCAAAGCAUUUGACUUUAUAACUUGCUCCAUCAGCAGUUCUACAGUGCCUGUCUGCGAUGGAUGAUGUGAAGGAAGGAUCCUCACUAAACUGUGGAAUGUCCAUUUCCUCCUGUCUGCCACUAGAAAGAGAUGCUUUGUGCUUGAGAGGAACAAAUACCUACAGUCCAGACAAGAAGUCUGAAUAAACUGGUACAGUGAGUGUAAAGUCCACCAGAGUUCACACCCUGAGAAAACAAUUGCAUCAAUGAUUCAUUCCAUUAAGCUGCUCUGCAGAUGUCAAGAUGUACACAUCAGUGUCUAGAUGAACUUUUAAAUAGCAACAAUUCUAUUUAAAUACUAAUAAAAACAACAAUUAAUAAAGAAUUUGGAAGUAGAGUAUAAAUUUGCCUACUUAAAAUAAUUUCAAGCCACCAUAUAAAAUGCAGUACUGACUUCUUAAUCUCAUUUAGUUAGCUGAAACUUGAAAUAUAGUGAGCUUCUGUAAAAGUAAAUUAUGUGGGAAGCAAUCUGAGAAGUAUCUUGUUUCCAGAUUAUUGGAAUAAGCUCAGAUUUACUCCAGGACACUUAAAGAACAGGCCAGAGGAAUUUCUCAGUGGUUUAUAGUUAUCUCUGAGGACUGGAACUGUUGCUAGAAGAUGAAAAAUGGGCAAACAGAGUGCCUGUGUUAAAAAGAAAGAGAGAGAGAGAAAGAAAGUAAACAAGAAUUUAGAGACUUUAGUUCCCCCCAAAAUUCUGCAGUAAGUUAUCCAACUACCUGCAUGAAGAUAACACAAAA